rnacentral:lncRNA from 1 species
CCUUCAAUCCAACUCCACCUCCACAAAAAAAAGUUAAAUUCUUACCCAUUAUCCACCAAACAGUCCAAAGAUUUCAUCUUUUUCCAGUUAAAAGUCCCAUCUUUUUGGGGGACCAGAGAUCCCCCAUCCCAUUUUCUUGGCUUAAAAAUCCCUCCUUUUUUUGUGUUUGCCCAUUGCCAUUUCAUCGUGGAUUUGGACCACGCGCAACCAAUCCCAAUCUGCGGCGGGGAGAUUCUAAACUAGCAAUCCACCAAGAACUCCACUACGAGAAUCAUUUCUCUGCAUUUUGCCCCCCAUCACCACCCGAGAAAUCCCAAGAAACGCCUCC